GCCUGUUCAUUGUCACCAAGCAUUUUCCUUAUCUGCAACAAACACCAUAAACAAAGGAAUCAGGUGUGAACAAAACAAUUCAAUGAACAAACCCAAAAUCAUCAAAUCACCCAUUGCCAAGCCAAAUUCACAUUCCACACUCCAACCAAGCCAAACACAUUUCGAAAA